GAAGCAGCAAUACUGGACUCUUCUUCUGUGGUGAGGGGCGGACACCACGCCCCUCUGAUGCUGUCGUGAUGUGGAUGUUGUUGCUAUUCCGACUUUUGCUCAAUAAACGGUUACGUCUGCCACGGGCGUGUGGAUUGAAGAAGCCGCGGAGUGCUCCAUGCGGCCAAAGGCUCAGGGAAACGCGGCACGUGUCGGCAAGCCGUCCAGGCACCCCCCUCCCCGUGACGUCGGCGAACAUGGAAGAUGCAGACAACGAGUCACCUGGGCAGCAGCAGCAGCAGCGUCGUUCUGAAACAGGCCCCGAAAUCCCGCAAUGCGAGCACUGCGCGCACGUGCUGCCAAACACAGACGGCACGGCUUAUCGCAUCCGAACAAGGCGUGCAGAGGGGAGAAGAGCACGAGUGAUCGACGGAGAAGACGGAAAGAAAUCCCAUACCAAUGAACCCCAAAACGCGUGGAUGCAGAAACAUGCGUCAUUUCCUGUAUUUGGCCGGACCGGCUGAUGUGGCGAAGAUAUCGGAAGCAUGACGAGAACCCCACGGCGUUGCGCUAUCGAGCCCUCCAGGUCCAGCAUGGGCGAGUCUCUACACCACGUGAUGGAUUAGAGCGGCUUUACGUGACGCAGAGGGAUAGGUGUGGCACAAGGCAGGGCGUGCAGGGCCUCAGAGGGCCCUGACCUGAACCUGGACAGCAUCUUCUUUGAGCUCACCCGGCAUGCACGUGGAACACCCCCCCCUACUCAACGCAUGGCAGACACUACGGCCCCCGCCCUCGCGCAGGAGACUGGACUCAUCCAGCUGAUAUCAAUGUAUAAGGGGCACUCAUGUUUGUCUGCUGUCGAUCACGGUGCGCUGAGAAAGGAUGGGGAAAGACAAGAGGAACCCGCUAGGGACAUGGCCCGCCUCUGAGGCCGGCGGGCUCGGCCUAGACGACCAGGAUUCAGCCCUAUUCUUACAGCGAUAGGGGACUUCUGUGGUUCUGUAUGCGUGUAUUUGUUAACUUUUUCGUGGUAGACUAACAGUGUAAAGAAAGAAAAGCAAAAGCCACCUGUCGUAGGUGUAUGUGCGCCUCUUGCCAUCAUCAUGUAUGCGCCAUCACCUCUGUAAAGGAGGGGGUGGCGGUGGUGGAUCGCGCAGGAUUUUGUCUUCGCUUCGGCGGCUCUAUUCCUGUCUCUGGCGAAGCGAUGACGUGGGCGACUGGCUGAUGCGCAGUAGUGGUUACUGCCCGUGUUCAGCCCCUUGCCACUGCUGGUGCACUGCUCAGCUUUGACGGGCAGUGCAUUGAGCUCAGAUUCAAGGCUGUGCUCGUCGUGUGCAUCGCCAGCUGUCUUCUCCCCCCUUCUUUCUUGUCGUUUCCGAUUUCAUGGGUUACAAACAACAUGCACGGGGUCCCCCACCCCCACCCUUUUCGUGUGCCGCUACUCUGAGCGGUGCCCUACUCCCUGUCGUUGGCGCUUUUUUCCUUUGUGCUGUGUUUGCGUUCGCUUCGCUCCGUCGUGGAGCAAG
rnacentral:misc_RNA from 1 species